GGGGCGACCGGGCGGUGUUUACAGACCGGCACAUGGCGCUUCCGGUUGACGUUGCUGACAGCUAGUGAGGCUUUAGCCCGCUUCGAGCGCCCGGGGGCGGUAAGGCGCGAUCAUAGCAGCUCUAGGUGACCUUGGUCCGGCUCCUUGCGCCCCCUGGCCCCAGCCUCCUUCGUUGAGACACUAUUUGUUGAGUCUUUCCUCUUUUCCUGGCCCUGACCUAGCGUGGGGCGACAGAAGAGCAAUAGCCGGGUGGGGGCUGUGAGAACGGCUGGGGUUGGGAGCGAAUUUCGGAAACCCGGAGGACGAGUAUAGCCUUGCAAGAUGGAAAAUGCCCUCCCGGGCUGGCGCGGUGGCCUGUAAUCCCACCUACUCGGGGUCCGAGGAGGGAGGAUUGCCUAGGCCCAGGACUUUGAGAACACGCCUCUACAGAGAUUUACAUUUUAAGAAAAUUAGCUGAGUUCGGGUCGGGCGCAGUGGCUCACGCCUGUAAUCCCAGCACUUUGGGAGGCCGAGGCUGGCGGAUCACCUGAGGUCAGGAAUUCGAGACCAGCCUGACCAAAACGGCGAAACCCGUUCUCUACUAAAAAUACAAACACUAGCCGGGCGUGGUGGCAGUCGCCUGUAAUCCCAGCUACUCCAGAAGCUGAGGCAGGAGAAUCGCUUGAACCCAGGAGGCGGAGGUUGCAGUGAGCCGCGAUCGCGCCACUGCCCUGCAGCCUGGGCCACAGAGCAAGACUCUGUCUCAAAAAAAAAAACCAAAAAACAAAGCAACAACAAAAAAACAGAGAAUUAGCUGGGUUCCAUGGCUCACACCUGUAAGUAAUCUCAACACUUUAGGAGGCCGAGAUGGGCGCGGAUCACUAGAGUCCAGGAGUUUGCGACCAGUCUGGGCAACAUAGUGAGACCCUCGUCUCUACAAAAAAUAAAAAAUAAAAAAAAUUGGCCGGGCGCCGUGGCUCACGCUUGUAAUCCUAGCGCUUUGGGAGGCCGAGGCGGGCAGAUCCCUUGAGGUUAGGAGUUCCAGACCAGCCUGGUCAAACCGUCUCUACUAAAAAUACAAAAAUUAGCCGGACAUGGUGGCACACGCCUGUAGUGCCAGCUACUGGGGAAGCUGAGGCAGGAGAAUUGCUUGAACUCAGGAGGCGGAGGCUGCAGUGAGCUGAGAUCGCGCCAUUGCAUUCCAGCCUAGACGACAGAGCAAGACUGUCUCAAGAAAAAAAAAAAAAUUCUGGAGUCCCAGCUACAGAUUGAGGUAGGAGGAUUGCUUGAGCCUGGGAAGUCAGAGGCUGCAGUGAGCCGUGAUUGUGCCUGGGGAACAGCGCAAGAUCCUGUCUCCAAAAAAUAAAAAAUGCCCUAGGGAGGCCGGCACUGGCCCUGGGGGUGAGUUAGGGGAUACUGAAAUGUGUAAACAGAUCUGAUCCCUUGGACACGUUGGGAUCACUGUGGCUGUGGCUGUGCUGGGAUCAGAUGGUGGUGGAGAGCUCCGGUCUGAACUAGGCGACGUUCUUGAUGUGUCUGGUUCCAGGGGAGUCUGCCCUGCCUUCGGAAUUGGAUGGAAUGGAGGGAAUUGCCUCAAGCUGCGGCUCCUACCCGGGCCCCUCAAGCCUGACCAAGGACUCUCCCAUUGGGUGGUGGGAGGAGGACAGUAG
rnacentral:lncRNA from 1 species